rnacentral:rRNA from 1 species
GCAGUUCGAACGAGAUCCAUGGUGUAGCAAUACAUCGGAAGAUCUAGUGGCGAACGGGUGAGGAUCACGUGAGAAACCUGCCCCAGACUUUGGGAUAACAAGUGGAAACGCUUGCUAAUACCGAAUGACGUCGGAGAACCGCAUGGUUCACUGACGAAAGGAAUUCCGGUUUGGGAGGGUCUCGCGGCCUAUCAGCUUGUUGGUGGGGUAAUGGCCUACCAAGGCAACGACGGGUAGCUGGUCUGAGAGGAUGAUCAGCCACACUGGGACUGAGACACGGCCCAGACUCCUACGGGAGGCAGCAGUGGGGAAUCUUGCGCAAUGGGCGAAAGCCUGACGCAGCAACGCCGCGUGCGGGAUGAAGGCCUUCGGGCUGUAAACCGCUUUCAGCAGGAACGAAAAUGACGGUACCUGCAGAAGAAGGAGCGGCCAACUACGUGCCAGCAGCCGCGGUGACACGUAGGCUCCAAGCGUUGUCCGGAUUUAUUGGGCGUAAAGAGCUCGUAGGCGGUUGAGUAAGUCGGGUGUGAAAACUCUGGGCUUAACCCGGAGACGCCAUCCGAUACUGCUCUGACUUGAGUUCAGGAGGGGAGUGGGGAAUUCCUAGUGUAGCGGUGAAAUGCGCAGAUAUUAGGAGGAACACCGGUGGCGAAGGCGCCACUCUGGACUGAAACUGACGCUGAGGAGCGAAAGCAUGGGUAGCAAACAGGAUUAGAUACCCUGGUAGUCCAUGCCGUAAACGGUGGGCACUAGGUGUGGGUUCCAACUAACGGGAUCCGCGCCGUCGCUAACGCAUUAAGUGCCCCGCCUGGGGAGUACGGUCGCAAGACUAAA